rnacentral:rRNA from 1 species
UACGUAGGUGGCAAGCGUUAUUCGGAAUUAUUGGGCGUAAAGGGCGCGUAGGCGGCAAGGCAAGUGGAAGGUGAAAUCCCUCGGCUCAACUGAGGAACUGCCUUCCAAACUGCCCUGCUUGAGUCCGGGAGAGGUGAGUGGAAUUCCCAGUGUAGCGGUGAAAUGCGUAGAUAUUGGGAGGAACACCAGUGGCGAAGGCGGCUCACUGGACCGGAACUGACGCUGAGGCGCGAAAGCGUGGGGAGCAAACGGG